rnacentral:lncRNA from 1 species
AUUUUUAUAUUAAAAUAGCAUUUAAGAUAUUUUUUUAAACCUAUCGGUGGCUUAAAUGAGUCAGCACUCUGUCUAGUAAACGAAAGAUAUAUCAUGCUGAACCAAAUCAAGUUCGAAAUAGCAGAAGGUCGGAUUGAGUCGAAUUUUAAAAUAGCGGAAGGUCAGAUUGAGUCGAAUCACAGUGACAUUAUAUCUAUAUAUUUUUAAUAAAUAAAUUAUUUUAUUUCUAACUGCUUAAAUUUUUAGUAUUAAUGGC